AUGAACCCACAAACCCCAGGCUGCCAAAGCAGAAUAUGUGAACUUAAUCACUACGCCACUGGGCUGGCCCCCUGGUCAGUUAAGAAUUUUGAUGAGAAAUAAUUGUCACUAAGAAAUUUAAAGGUAUUCUAGUAUCCAAGGUUGCUAUAAAAAAUCUGAUGCCUUUUUGAUUCCUUUUCUUUGUAUGUGACAGAAGCAGAUGCUGAAGUGGCCCUCCCCAGUCCCCAUCUCUGCAUGCCAAAGGCUUCUUGCUGUCAGUGCCCGGGAAGCUCUGUCGAGCGCUUUCUCUAGCCCAACGGGCCUGCAAGACCCAUGCCCUCUGCAUGAGGAAGUGCCAGGCAGUGUUACUGCCUUCGGAGUAGCCCACAACCAAUGAUGAAAGGAGUUGGUGGCUAAUACCCCUUGGGUGGGACAGCCCUGAACUGUUUUCUAUACGGUCUCCCGUAUAGAACCCCAGUUGCCCAUAUUAAAGCUUCUUUUCUUUCCCUGUUUCACUUCCCGCUUCCUAACUGAGGUUUCUGUGGAAUCAUCUCUCGAAUAAACUACUUGUCCUCAAAUCCAAGGUGUGCUUCCAGGGAUACCUAACCUAGGACCAGGCCUGUAUCCACCCCUCUUCUCUUUUUGCCUUGAUCUUCUGAAAUUUCACAGUGAUGUGUCUUUAGUUUUUUUUUAAUCCAUAGAAUCGGUCACUCAGAUGGCCCCUUCAAUCUGGAUCUUCAGCUGUGGAAGAGUUUUCUUUAUUUCUUUAUAAUUUCCUUCCCGCUAGGCUCUGUUGUCCUUUAGGAUCUCUUGCCAGAUGUUGGACUUUCUGGAUUAUUCUCAUUCUCUUAAGUUUUCUUAAGAAAAUUAAAGGAUAAAAUUUUUUGGACAAAAUUUUGUUCGCCUGUUUUUUAUUCCAGCCAGGAUAAGCACUGUUCAUCUCUUUGUCAUUUUGUUCUUUCUGGGAGAUUUCCUCAACUUUACCUUCUAGUACACUUACAUUGCUUUUUAUUUGGGCUUUCUUGUUCGUUCAUGCAAAGGUAACUUUUUUUCUGAUUGUUACUUUUGUAACAUCCUUUUCUUGUUUUAUGAAUGUUAUUUCAUUCACGACUCUGAAGAUAUGGGUUUGAAAUUUCUUCUGCUUUGAGUUCCUUCUUUCUGUUUGCUUUGGUGUCUAUCUUUCACGAAGGAAGCUUCCCACCCAUGUCUAGUGAUCCUUGACUGUUCACACUGAAGGAUGAGGCACCAAGCUGAUCGGACAUUCUGUGCGCCUGGGUGGGGCUUGUUGAGGGGUGAAUUUUACUAUGGUGCAGGGACUUAAGAGUUCACUAUUUAGGAUCAUAAGUUUUGCUUAAUAUGUCUCUUUUGAGCUGGUACCCCCACACUGUGCUGUGCCUAGUAUCCCAAGCCUAGAGCAUCUCAGUUUCAAUAUCUCCAGAGAAAACUUCCUGUUUCCUGCAGGGUCAGGGGAAAGGGAAAGUCAUGUGGCUUUUCAGGGUGGUGAUGAGACCUGGUGUCAAACAGAUACUCACACAGCCUUUCAACCAAUUCUCUUGUCCUCAGCAUCUCGUCUCACUCCCUUGCCUCUCCUGUAGAACCCAGUAUUUCCAAUUCCUGACGUGGCCAAGAAUUCUCAGCUUUGGGUUUUCCUAUGUACAGGUUAUAAAGAGAAACGACUGAACUGAGGAAAUCAUCAUAUUGGAAAUAUUUCUAGAUUUUACAUACCAAAUACAGGACUGAUUGCUGUAUCUUAUUUUGCUAUAUCCUAGUUCAGGAUCUCAUCAGCUACCACUGGAACGGCAUUUCACUAAUUAUACCCCAUUGAACCUUAGUGUUUUGCCCGGUAUUAAUAGGUGUUCUACAACAAUCAUGACCAUAACAGCAAAGGUGCUUUGGUCAAAUAAGUUUGGGACCCAUUGGGUUUUUAGUGCAGAACUUCAAAGAGCAGCGAAUACGCUGAAGUAUGUUAUAACUCUCCAAGAAGACCUUCUCCUCUCUUUCUUUUGAGAAUACCAGUGUUCCUUGGAACAUGUUGGGCAAUCUUGAACUGGAUCAUUUCAAUCACUUCCUAGUGGAGUUUUCUCUGUCUCCAUUCUCUCUUAUCCUAAACCCAUGAUUUAUAUUGUUUCCACACUUUUAUUUCUAACUCACAAUGCCAAUCUUGGCAUUUCACUUCUCAGCAAGCUUCCCUAUUUUCACGUACAAUACAGUCCAUACUUAAGAUCCUGAAGACCUUGCAUAAGUUGACCCUAACGGAUUUUCCUACCUACUCUUCCAACAUUUGCCUCAUGCACCUGCGUGGUUCAGCCAGAUCAAGCACGAGUCUUACCUCAGGCUCACAGAAUAACUGAAAGGACCGCUCCUGCUCUUCCUUCACCCAGAAUGCUCUUCCCUUCUCUCUGAUCAUCCUUGGUGAAGCUUUGCCUGACUCACUUCCUUCCCCAGUCACUGCACACAUUGGAAAGACUUAUUCCCGCCUCUGUGCUUCCGCCAUUUUGUUUGUGGCUUACUGCAUUCAGUCUCUUGGCUUGUUGUCUCACUAGCGGAGUCUAAGAUCACCCCUCUCCACCCAGGGCAGAGCAAUGUUAUUCUCGUCUCAUAAUUCUAGUAUGCAUCUUGGAUUGGGUAAAUACCCAAUGAAAGCUCAUUCUAAAAGAAUUAGAAAUUGAAGCACUCUCUGGGGAUCUAAUCUGAAACAAUAAGAGGUAGCUAUAAUUAACAUUAUUGAGGAGCUGAUUCCCAGUUUCUAGGUUAUCUGAGCACCUUAUUAAUCUUCCCCAUCUAGGUGGCUUUUCAGCAGCCCUUCUAGGUCAGGGCAAAAGGAAACUGAGAGUGAGAUUAUUAUAAGACUUCCUGCUAUUUAGUGAUUUUUAAAAAUUAAGUAUUUAGUAGAAAAAAGGUGGAACUUGGGGUUUUAGAUUCCAUCAAUGUUAUUUAUGUGUUCCUAUCCCUCACCGGCACAAAUAAUCAAAAUCUGGUUGCAUGUUGCCAAAUGCAUCUUUUGUUUAUUCAACCCCUGAGGCAGUAGUUCCAAACUCUUUCUUAUCGACACCCUAAACUGGUAGAACACUGUCACACCGAGGCCCAAAAGGAAUCUAAAAUUAGAGUUUAUCUUAAAAUAAGCAUGAUAAAUUUGAGUGUCAUAAAUUAAAACACCCGCAAAAUCUAACUCUGAUACCCAGAUCAAUGUGGUUAAGUUUGAAGCAGAAAAUUCAUCAGGAAGAAAGAUUUUAUGCUAAUUCAAAAUGCAAAAACAGUAAUUUGCUCGUCCUGCAGGACGCCUGUAUAAUCAGUCCAGGCUGCCGGCUUCCCAGCGCUGAGCAGAUGUGGGUGGCAAGAGGGUGGGCCUCCCAGUCAGUCUGGCAAGUUGGCUGGCCUCUUCUAGAAAAGCUUUCUUCCAUGAUGCACCCUUUCCUGGUUCUCUGCCUGUGUCUCUGGCCUCCCCUCAUCAGUCUCUUGUCGGCUCUUCCUCCGUGUCCUGACUUACAUGUUGGAGUUGGAGUUCCCUGGGCAUGGCCCCAGGCUCCCUCUUUGGGCUCCAGACACGUACAUCCAAUGGCCCACGUGGUUUCUCUACCUUGAUGCCUCAUAGGCACCUCAAACAUAUCAUGGCCCCUCAGCUCCCCUGCUGUCCCCCUUCCCCUCUGCACACUUUACCUGGAUAACUUCUAUUUACCCUUCAGGCUUUGCCUUUGUUCAACAGAUAUUGACUGAGUGCCUAAUAUGUACUUACAUGUCUCAUUCUCCAGGAAGCCUUGUCUGAUGUCCCAGAUCAAAUUAGGUGCCCCUGUUGUCAGGUAAACCAUGUUCUUCCCAUUACAGCAUUUAUCACAACUGAAGUUACAUGAUUUUUUAAUAUGUCUGUCCCACUAAACUUAAGAUCCACAAGAGCAAGGAUAAUAUCUGUUUCUCAGUGUAUCCCCAGUGCCUAGGAUAGUGCUUGGUAUACAGUAGGUGCUCAAUAAAUGUUUGUGGAAUGCACGAACGUGAAAAGAUUUAAUGGAAUUGCUUAUAACCUAGUUGAGGAAAGACAACUUUUUACAUGCAACAGAUGUUUACAAAGCAAUGGUGACAAGGAAGUGGGUAGACUAUAUGACUUUUAAUGCCCUGUCCGAUCCGGAGACUCCAUGAUUCUUAUCCUGACAUCCAGUUACCGUAGAGCACUUUAUGUCCUGAGGUAACGUGAAACAAAGGUGUGAUGAAAGUCGGGUUGGGUCAUUCGGGGAUAUUUCCUAAUCCAAAUAGAUAAACGUAAAGCUCAAGUUAAAGCAGGAUUUCUCAGUCUGGGUACUGUUGACAUUUGUGUGCCAGAUAAUUCUUUGUGUAUGGGGUUGUCCUGUGCAUUAUAGGAUAUCUAGCAGCAUCCUGGACUCUACCCAUUAGAUACCAGUAGCAACCCCAGUUCUGACAACCAAAAAUGUCUCCAGAUGUUGCGAAACAUACCCUGGAGGGCAAAAUCACCCCUGUAUGAGAACCACUGAAGUACCAGAGGAGAAUAAAUGGGAUUGCCUGAGGAGAAGCUUUCUGGAGGAUGGCAUUUAUAGAGGCGCUGAGUUGGGAAGGAGCAAAUCAUGCUUAGGAAAGGGCAAGAUUCUCUUGGUGGAAUGGGAAGUACCAGGAUAAAAAGCUGGGCAAAGCUAGGGAUGUGGGCUGAAUUCUGUUCAUAAAGGGGCAUCAAUAUGUGUUUGAAAAAUGCAAGUUCUGUGGAAGUAAUAAGUAUGAAAGUCAAGGGCAGCCUGCUAAUGAAAUAAAGUAACAAAAUGAGCUCCUUGGGGAAUGGGUGGUGCUCCUUGUUGGGUGGGUGCCUCCUGUCUGGGUUCCGGUGGCCCCAAAUGACACUUCAUCAGAGCAGCUACACCCAGGAGGCGUCUCUCAGACUAGACAAGUGCUCCUGAGGGUCCAGGCCAGUCUUCCUGGCACUGCGUCUGCCCAGCACAUUGAUGAAGUUCAUUAAAUAAACUCUUAACUGGGCUGAUCUGAGAAGGAUGAAGGAAGAAGCUGACCAAGAAGCAAAGAAGGGAAGGACACAGUUGGAAACGUUGGUUAUCUUACCAAAGCUUUGACUGGAAUGUCAUAUUUGAGAGAAACAUACAGACUCAGAUAUGACAAGACAGCUUUUGAGGAAUAAAGGUUGACUUCCUGUAAUAAAGCCACUUGGAAAUAUUGGCUUGGUCCUUGUUUACAAGGAAUCCAGCAACCUGGAACUGAACCUGCCCUUUUUCCUGAAGACUUUCAAACUGAAGCUGGGCGACUUGAUAUAAACGUAAGAGAGAUUCGUGUCUAUUGCUGUGUAAGACACUCAGUAAGAUACCUGAACACGUGAUGACAUCAUCAGAGACAUUUCAAACUGCAAAAGAUGCUUGCACUCUGACACCUAGAAAUCUUUUGUCUGGCUGCCACCUGGGUUCAGAAAGGCUCAACUUUGUGAACCCACCUGCAUCACCAUCUUACUAAGAGACUGGUUCAAUGAGAUGGAACAACCUAUGCCCCUCAUCAACAGGAUAAUCCCUCAAGAUUGAAGAUGAACAACAAAAGGUGGGAUUGACACCAGUCAACACAAGGUUGGCAUAAGGGAAGCCAUAUUGUAAAAAAGAAACCAUAUUGUAACUUUGAAUGACUUCUGAUUAACUAACCCAGACAUACUCUGUAGAUUUUAUGGAC